rnacentral:lncRNA from 1 species
CCUCUCCAGUUUGGGCAAAACAGCUCAAGAGAUAAUUCUCAUCCAUAUAAUACUGCAAAUCUCCGAUCCACAAAGUCCGAACCUCAUCUGCGUUAGCCGGUUGACCAGCUGGCUGUUGUUGAGCAGGUACCCCAGCCGAACCUUGUUGUGGGGGCCACAUAGGUGGAGGAUGACUCUGAGGCGGCUGCAUCAUGUUCAUCAUCAUGUAAGGUUGUUGUGCCUGAGGAACCGGAGCCGGAGGUGGUUGCUGAUAUUGGUACUGUUGGGUCUGUGGAGCCAUUGGUGGUGGUACCAUAGCUUGUGCUGGUUGUUGCAUCAUCUUCAAUUUGGGGAUAUUUUU